rnacentral:misc_RNA from 1 species
GAUGAAGAACGUAGCAAAAUGCGAUAAGUAAUGUGAAUUGCAGAAUUCAGUGAAUCAUCGCAUCUUUGAACGCACAUUGCGCCCGCUGGUAUUCCGGCGGGCAUGCCUGUUCGAGCGUCAUUUCAACCCUCAAGCCCCCGGGUUUGGUGUUGGGGAUCGGCUCUGCCCUUCUGGGCGGUGCCGCCCCCGAAAUACAUUGGCGGUCUCGCUGCAGCCUCCAUUGCGUAGUAGCUAACACCUCGCAACUGGAACGCGGCGCGGCCAUGCCGUAAAACCCCAACUUCUGAAUGUUGACCUCGGAUCAGGUAGGAAUACCCGCUGAACUUAAGCAUAUCAAUAAGCGGAGGA